rnacentral:rRNA from 1 species
CGUAGGGUGCAAGCGUUGUCCGGAAUUAUUGGGCGUAAAGAGCUCGUAGGCGGUUUGUCGCGUCUGCUGUGAAAUCUGGGGCUCAACCCCCAGCCUGCAGUGGGUACGGGCAGACUAGAGUGCGGUAGGGGAGAUUGGAAUUCCUGGUGUAGCGGUGGAAUGCGCAGAUAUCAGGAGGAACACCGAUGGCGAAGGCAGAUCUCUGGGCCGUAACUGACGCUGAGGAGCGAAAGCAUGGGAGCGAACAGGAUU